GUGCACUUAUAUAGUAGAAGUUACAAACAUAAAACGACCUGUUGCGAAUGCUGUAAGCUUCAAGGAACGUUUGCCCUCUUUUCUUCCCUCUCAACAUGAGAAAAGGUGACAACCCCGCAUAGUACGCCUAUAUUACGCCGCCCACCCAACGCCUCCUACCAACCGCGUACGCUCUUUUUACAUAAUUAUUGGAGGGUACUGGGUCUUACGGCAUCGCGUCGUGCACGUAAUACACUUCCACAUUCAUGAACCACGCCGCAAUGGACAAAAUAUAUUCGAGAUAUCUCGCCAAUGAGAGAUGGUGAGAGAGCCGAAAAAAAGCGGAAGGUUACAAUUCGUCAAAGAACGAAAACCAUCAGUCCACCAGCUCGUGUAAACGGUUUUAGCUGUACCCACCAGUCUCUUAUCCAAAUCGAUCACAUUUUGCACCACCGAAAAAAGAAAUGCAUCAAGAACAUGAAUUAAAUGAUAUAGCCCAGAACUUCGACAUUUGGUCCAGUUCAUCGAUGGGCAUUGCCCACUAAUAGUCCACGCCAUGGACCCUCACAUAUUCCUCAAAAGAUUCCAUCGAUUGCCUCCAUUACCAAAACAAGGCCCUCCUUAUCGUCGUCAAGAACCGCCAUUCGGCAGACGAACUCGUUAAUAAUGGAGAAACCAAGUCGACAUUGGCAUUUGCUUAUCUCAUAGGUCACCAGCAAAUACCACAUGUUCUGAUAAACAUCUCUCAUACAAGGUAUUCGGGGAAAUUCCUGCCGUUUCUCAUCUCCAGUGGGGUAAGCCAUUUGAACUCUGCAACUCCGUUAAGGAUUGGGACAGGCUCUUGGUGAUGAAUAUUAUGUCAGAUGUAGUCCAUCCCAGUUUCACAGACGUAGGUGCAGAAGAAGCGGAAGGCUGGCGCAGACUGUAGUUUGAGCAAGUAGGUCUACGCUUUGUAGAUUUACAGUAUAAUAGAGGAUAAGAGGAAACUCAUUGCGGAUAAAGCGGAUGUGUUAACUGGGGCAGCAUUUCUAUAAGCAGCAACGGCUUUGCGCUGAUACCACUCUUUCUUGUUUCCCUCCCCGUCAGCUUUUUGAACGUAUUCACGUUGGAAAAAUAUGUAUUCAAAGGGAUUACCUGGCGGAAGGGGCGAGCAUCCCAAGGUAGUGCAUAAAAUACUUUGACGAUAGCACCUUCCUUGUAAUCUUGUAACCCAUGCUUCGCCUAGUGCACAAAUUCUACGCA
rnacentral:sRNA from 1 species